rnacentral:rRNA from 1 species
ACGGGAGGCAGCAGUGGGGAAUAUUGCACAAUGGGCGCAAGCCUGAUGUAGCAACGCCGCGUGAGGGAAGACGGUUUUCGGAUUGUAAACUUCUGUCUUUGGUGACGAAGAAGUGACGGUAGCCAAGGAGGAAGCCACGGCUAACUACGUGCCAGCAGCCGCGGUAAUACGUAGGUGGCAAGCGUUAUCCGGAAUUACUGGGUGUAAAGGGAGCGCAGGCGGGACUUCAAGUCAGCGGUGAAAAUUAUGGGCUCAACCCAUAAACUGCCGUUGAAACUGUAGUUCUUGAGUGGAGUAGAGGCAGGCGGAAUUCCGAGUGUAGCGGUGAAAUGCGUAGAUAUUCGGAGGAACACCAGUGGCGAAGGCGGCCUGCUGGGCUCUAACUGACGCUGAGGCUCGAAAGUGUGGGGAGCAAACAGGAUUAGAUACCCUGGUA